rnacentral:rRNA from 1 species
CAGUCGCCGCGGUAAUACGGAGGGUGCAAGCGUUAUCCGGAUUUAUUGGGUUUAAAGGGUCCGUAGGCGGAUCUGUAAGUCAGUGGUGAAAUCUCACAGCUUAACUGUGAAACUGCCAUUGAUACUGCAGGUCUUGAGUAAAUUUGAAGUGGCUGGAAUAAGUAGUGUAGCGGUGAAAUGCAUAGAUAUUACUUAGAACACCAAUUGCGAAGGCAGGUCACUAAGAUUUAACUGACGCUGAUGGACGAAAGCGUGGGGAGCGAACAGGAUUAGAUACCCGAGUAGUCCCUGUCUCUUAUAC